CAGCUCUCCGAGUAGUGUGGACGUUUAUUGGGCCUAAAGCAUCCGUAGCUUGCUAGAUAAGUCCUCUGUUAAAUCCACCGAUUCAAUCGUUGGAUUGCGGGGGAUACUGUUUGGCUAGGGGACGGGAGAGGUCGACGGUAUUUCCGGGGUAGGGGUGAAAUCCUAUAAUCCCGGGAGGACCACCAGUGGCGAAGGCUGUCGACUAGAACGCGCCCGACGGUGAGGGAUGAAAGCUGGAGGAGCGAACCGGAUUAGAUACCCGCGUAGUCC
rnacentral:rRNA from 1 species